GGGGUUGUGUCUCAGUGGUAGAGCGCUCACUUUGCACAUGCGGGGCCCUGGGUUCGAUCCUCAGCACCACA
rnacentral:tRNA from 1 species